rnacentral:rRNA from 1 species
GGGAUUGCCUUAGUAGCGGCGAGUGAAGCGGCAAUAGCUCAAAUUUGAAAUCUGGCACCUUCGGUGUCCGAGUUGUAAUUUGAAGAAGGUAUCUUUGGUUUUGGCUCUUGUCUAUGUUCCUUGGAACAGGACGUCACAGAGGGUGAGAAUCCCGUGCGAUGAGAUGCCCAAUUCCAUGUAAAGUUCCUUCGACGAGUCGAGUUGUUUGGGAAUGCAGCUCUAAGUGGGUGGUAAAUUCCAUCUAAAGCUAAAUAUUGGCGAGAGACCGAUAGCGAACAAGUACUGUGAAGGAAAGAUGAAAAGAACUUUGAAAAGAGAGUGAAAAAGUACGUGAAAUUGUUGAAAGGGAAGGGCUUGAGAUCAGACUUGGAAUUUUCCAGUAAUGGAGCUUUCCGGGCCAGCAUCAGUUUGGAUGGCAGGAUAAUUGCGUAGAAAAGUAGCUCUACUUCGGUGGAGUGUUAUAGUCUGCGUCGAUACUGCCUGUCUAGACUGAGGACUGCGUCUUUGACUAGGAUGCUGGCAUAAUGAUCUUAAGCCGCCCGUCUUGAA